rnacentral:rRNA from 1 species
UACGUAUGGGGCAAGCGUUAUCCGGAUUUACUGGGUGUAAAGGGAGCGUAGGCGGCCUGGCAAGCCUGAUGUGAAAUACCGGGGCCCAACCCCGGGGCUGCAUUGGGAACUGCCAGGCUGGAGUGCCGGAGAGGCAGGCGGAAUUCCUAGUGUAGCGGUGAAAUGCGUAGAUGUUAGGAGGAACACCAGUGGCGAAGGCGGCCUGCUGGACGGUGACUGACGCUGAGGCUCGAAAGCGUGGGGAGCAAACAGG